UGGGAUGUGGUGUAUGGUGCGCAGCUGCUCUCAAUUACGUGUUCCCCAACGUAGAUGGGAAGCAGCAGGACAGGGUUCAAUUCCCUGUGUCCCAA